UACAGCGGGAAGGCCACCUGGCGACAGGGAGCGGAACCCGAAAACCUGUCUCAGUUCGGAUUGGAGUCUGCAACCCGACUCCAUGAAGCUGGAUUCGCUAGUAAUCGCGCAUCAGCCACGGCGCGGUGAAUACGUUCCCGGGCCUUGUACACACCGCCCGUCAAGCCAUGGAAGCCGGGAGUGCCUGAAGUGCGUGACCGCAAGGAGCGUCCUAAGGCAAUACCGGUGACUGGGGCUAAGUCGUAACAAGGUAUC
rnacentral:rRNA from 1 species